ensembl:lncRNA
ACCGUCGUGACGCAGUCCCCGGCCCGGAUCCGGAGAAGAUCCGGACACUGCAAGGUCAGCAUUGACCCCAUUUUACGGAUGAGACAACUGAGACUCCGAGAGGGCACUACAUCUCCCCUCCCCCGGGCUGCGUGGUUACUGUCUGCCCCCCACUGCCUCGCUGAUGCCGGCGGCCCUCGGAACGGCUCCGUCCCCGCCCCCACGCUGGGAGGCAGCGGGAGGCGGAGGGCUUCCGGCUCCUUCCUCCAGCCCUGGGUGCACUUCCGACCGCAGCUCCGCUGGAGGCGCUCUCUGCUCAGUUCCUCAGCAGAAAACAAUCCCAGUGCCCUUACUGAAAUAUCGGAGGGAGCCCUUGUAGGCUGGCGGUGAAGUGUAGACACUGGUUCAAAUCCUGGCUUCUCCACUUCCCAGCUGUGUGACCUUAGCAUGUGCAAUUUUUAGUUGCGGCGUGCGGGAUCUAGUUCUCUGACCAGGGAUCGAACCCGGGACGCCUGCAGUGGGAACACGGAGUCUUAGCCACUGGACCACCAGAGAGCUUCUUUAUGGAACAUCAAUACGAACUGGGAACGAGAAGCAUCAUCGUAGCUGCCGUUUCUCAAGCAGGGAGGGUCCUGGGCUCCACAGAAUGACCCUACUGUCUCCUGGGAGCCGCCCUGGGGGCCUCUCUUGUCACCCAUUUGGCAGAGGAGGAAGCCUCACCCGUGGCAGAACCAUUCAGACCCUGGACCGGUCUGUGCCUCUGUGGUAUCUAGGCUCAAGCAGAGGCUGGUCUCCCAAAGAAACGCCACCCAGGGGCUUCCCCGCCCCCACCGUGGGUCACCUGAACCAGCUGCUGACCAAGUCCCCACGCCUGCAGGGCAGCAAGGGAGUGAGGAACAGGGGUGGGCAGUCCUUGAGUAAGUAACUGCAGUCAGCCCCUGCUUCAGGCAGCACACUGCUCCUCUCAGGGCCCUCCAAUUCAUAUGCUCUGAUUCCCACACCAUCUCCUUGAGGUUGGCACUAUGGUGGUGGGCACGGCACAGGUGAGGAAACAGCCCAGGCAGGGGACAAAGCUUGCCCAGACCUGCAGAGCUGGGAUUCACCUUGAGAGUUCCUGACACUUGUUCUCCUGUCCUCUCUCCAUCUGUAUGAAAGAGUGAAGGCCGUAGCUAACAGAAUGUUUGGAUCCCCCAAAAUUGAUGUGCUGAAACCUAACCCCCCAGUGUGAGGGUAUUUAGAGGUGGGGCCUUUGGGAGGUGAUGAGGUCUUCCAGCGUGAAGCCCUCAAGAAUGGGAUACUGCCCUUUAAAAGAGGCCCCCGGGAGAUCCCUCCCUUGUCUCUUCUACCUUGUAUUGUGGUUCAGUGUCCGACUCUCUGUGACCCCAUGGACUGCAGCACACCAGGCUUCCCUGUCCUUCACCAUCUCCCGGAGGGUGCUCAAGCUCAUGUCCGUUGUGUUGAUGAUACCAUCCACCUUGUGAGGUUAUACCAAAAAGAUGGCCGAACCAGGAAGUGGGCUCUUACCAGACACUGAAUCUGGCAGCACCUUGAUCCUGGACUUUUCAACCUCCAGAACUGUGAGAAAAAGGUCUUUUGUUCAAAGCCACCCCACCCCCUCCACCAGCCUGCGAUAUUCUGUUAUAGCAGCAUGAAUUGGACUAAGUGGCUAAGGCAGCCACUUUCCCUAUGUGCUUAUACUGUUGAUCCUUCCAUCUGUCUAUCCACUCAUCCAUCCAUGCAUCCAUGUACCCACCUAACCAUCUAUGCAUCCAUCUAUCCAUCCACAGCUGUGCAGUGAGUAUCCUCUACGUACCAGGUGUGGCCUGGGUACUGGGACGGGGGGCAGGGCCCACCCUAUGUGGCAUGUACAGGCUGGCAA